rnacentral:misc_RNA from 1 species
CUACACACCGGCAAAGGGCGUGGGGAUGCAUGCAUUACUGUUGGAUAGGUUUAAGACUCCUGAUGCUGAGGAGUGGAGAAAAUCUGGUGCAGUUGUGCUUUCUGACUUGGUGUCUGUACAAGAAUUGCUCACCUUCGGGACAUUGACAUGCUGAGGGGCUUAUUUCUUCCCCAAAGCUGCUGUUAUGUGCAUUUUUUCCCCUUUUUGAUACCAGCAACUCAGGUAUUGUAAAUUUUCAUUUAUCAAAAGGGGAAAAAAUGCACAUAACAGCAGCUUUGGGGAAGAAAUAAGCCCCUCAGCAUGUCAAUGUCCCGAAGGUGAGCAAUUCUUGUACAGACACCAAGUCAGAAAGCACAACUGCACCAGAUUUUCUCCACUCCUCAGCAUCAGGAGUCUUAAACCUAUCCAACAGUAAUGCAUGCAUCCCCACGCCCUUUGCCGGUGUGUAGUCUUUCCGCAUGCUAUCCCCUAUGUGCAGAGCUUCUUCUGGUGCAAUGUUUCCAGCCCUCUCAAGUGCAAUUUCAUAAAUCCUUGGGUCUGGCUUCUCUACACCUUCAAGACCAGAGAAUACACCAAAGUCCCACUCUGACCCCUGAUCCAAACCCAAGGCUGGAAGUAUCACAUCCUGAUAUCGAUAUUCUGCAUUACUAACAAGCCCAACUAGAAGACCCUUUUCACGUGCCCAUCUUAGGAAUGGUUGGGAGUCUGGAAAGACACUAUAAGGUGCAGAUGAACCAAAUGAGGCAUAUAUGCGCCUGAAGAUUUUCUCAAAAGUCUCUUCAUCGUAAUCAUAUCCAGCCUUGAUAAAGGAAUUUCUCACACACAUCUUCCACCAGACAAUGUUAGGCAUUUUUGCUGCAUGCCCAAAACAUGGAUACUUUUUGGCCAUAUCUGUAUAUGCAAGUUUGAAGCCUUCAUGUACACGCUUGUAGUCAGGGCAUGGCAGUCCAACAGAUUUUGCUGCCAUGCAAUAGUAGUCACCAAGCUCACCUUUGUAAGCUAUGAGCGUACCGGUGACAUCCACAGUGAUGCAACGUAAUUUUGACAACAGAGACAUGACAUCAAUCAUGCAGCAGAUUUCAAAACCAGAAGCUGAAAUGAAAAGGAAUCAGGACUGGUUCGUUGACAUCGCCACUAUUUUGUCUUCUUCUCAAUACUUUGAAGGCAUUUUUUAGCGUCAACUGAACUAAAAGCU